GAAAAUCUAUCUCCUUGGAGAAUUGUAUUGGAAUGAGGAAUGAAAUGAGUAGAUGGAAAAUGGCAUCCCAAAAUCACCCCAUCACCGUAGACAUCUCUAGUCACAUCCCUAAACUCUAAGGUACGCUUUUUUUCCCUUUUGAUUUUUCUUCAUCGCCUCACUAUUCUUUCAACAAUACUCUGAUCUCUAUUUUCCCCUUGAUUUUGCGAAUGUUCAAUCUAAUUUUGAUGCAUGUUUGUGCUGGUGAGUUGAUUUUGCGAAUGUUCGACCUAAUUUUGAUGCAUCUUUCCCAUUGAUUUUGCGAAUGUUUCUCAGUCACGCUCGCCAAACCGCCCACCUUCCUCUUUUCCCAAUACCCAAUUGGUAUAGACCCUUACAUGUCGUGCUAUAGAGACUUUUUUAAUUUUCUUUUAUUUGUUUAUUUGUAGAUCUUUUUUUCCCUCAGCUUAGUUUUUAAUGAAAAUUCUGCGAUCAAUUAGGAGCGUUGAUUUUAGUUCUCAAUCUAUGAUUUCUAUAGCCAAUCCGACUGCAUUAGUUAUCAGGAAAUUGAAUCAGAUUGGAUUGCGUAACUGAAGUUUGAAGCUUUGUUGCUAAGCUUGUAAUGAAGAAAAUGCACGUGUUUUUUGUAGGGAAAACCUCUCGUUGGUAUGAUGAGAUUCAGUUGUGCGAUUAUUUUAAUUUAGUUAUGCGAUUAUUUUAGUUUUGAUUUUCUUUUUGUUGGAUGUAUCUAUGACCCUUCAAAGUAGACAAUCAACUCUCUUGAUCUUUAGACUUUAGAGCUUUAUGUAUAUAUUGGUCAAUAUAACUUAUUGAUAGGUUAGUUAAACAAUUUGUCACUUUCUUUGUUGUGAAUUAGUUAAUUUUUGUGUUUGUUUAAAGUUGAGUUGUAUAUAUAAUAGCAAUUAAGAUUUUAUUUUGUG